rnacentral:rRNA from 1 species
AACCUGCCUCAUACACAUGGAUAACAUACCGAAAGGUAUGCUAAUACAAGAUGAUAUAAGAGAUUCGCAUGGAUUUCUUAUCAAAGCUCUGGGGGUAUGAGAUGGACCCGCGUCUGAUUAGCUAGUUGGUAAGGUAACGGCUUACCCAGGCGACGAUCAGUACCCGACCUGAGAGGGUGAUCGGCCGGGUUGGAACUGAUACACGGUCCAAACUCCUACGGGAGGCAGCAGUGGGGAAUAUUGCACAAUGGGCGAAAGCCUGAUGCAGCAACGCCGCGUGAGCGAUGAAGGCCUUCGGGUCGUAAAGCUCUGUCCUCAAGGAAGAUAAUGACGGUACUUGAGGAAGAAGCCCCGGCUAACUACGUCCCAGCAGCCGCGGUAAUACGUAGGGGGCGAGCGUUAUCCGGAUUCAUUGGGCGUAAAGCGCGCGUAGGCGGCCUGGCAGGCCGACGGGUAGAAGCCGGGGGCUCACCCCCCGGAAGCCCGCGGAACCUCCAGGCUUGGGUCCGGUAGGGGAGGGUGGAAUACCCGGUGUAGCGGUGGAAUGCGCAGAUAUCGGGUAGAACACCGGUGGCGAAGGCGGCCCUCUGGGCCGAGACCGACGCUGAGGCGCGAAAGCUGGGGGAGCGAACAGGAUUAGAUACCCUGGUAGUCCCAGCCGUAAACGAUGGACGCUAGGUGUGGGGGGACGAUCCCCCCGUGCCGCAGCCAACGCAUUACGUAUUCCGCCUGGGGAGUACGGUCGCAAGAUUAAAACUCAAAGGAAUUGACGGGGACCCGCACAAGCAGCGGAGCAUGUGGUUUAAUUCGAAGCAACGCGAAGAACCUUACCUAGACUUGACAUGUCCUGAAUUACCAGUAAUGUGGGAAGUUCCUUCGGGAACAGGAACACAGGUGGUGCAUGGUUGUCGUCAGCUCGUGUCGUGAGAUGUUGGGUUAAGUCCCGCAACGAGCGCAACCCUUAUUGUUAGUUGGUACCAUUAAGUUGACCACUCUAGCGAGACUGCCCGGGUUAACCGGGAGGAAGGUGGGGAUGACGUCAAAUCAUCAUGCCCCUUAUGUCUAGGGCUACACACGUGCUACAAUGGCAAGUACAAAGAGAAGCAAUACUGUGAAGUGGAGCAAAACUCAAAAACUUGUCUCAGUUCGGAUUGUAGGCUGAAACUCGCCUACAUGAAGCUGGAGAUGCUAGUAAUCGCGAAUCAGAAUGUCGCG